CACAAACACAAAGGACUGCAUCCGAGCAUACCCACGCUUUUUUCCCCCAAUUUCGGAGGGAAAAUUUGAAGAAAGCUCGGGGGAAAGUCCCCGGACAUAUAGUAGUCCCAAGACUGCCGUGUAAAAACGGCUUGUCCUCCCCUUGCACGCAAAGAGAUGAGCAUCCCUUGGGGCGGCCUUUUUCGUCCUGAGUGAUAGUCAUGCAGUUUUAAAACUCGAUGGGGCUUACUCUUGUGAUUGU
rnacentral:RNase_MRP_RNA from 2 species